rnacentral:lncRNA from 1 species
GCGAAUGACGAAAUUCCCUGUAAAAUGAUAAGGAAUUAGGUUGGAUGAAGAAGGAAGAACAGAGAAAGAGAGAAUAGAGAUGAAUCGAAGGAAGAAUGAGAGAAAGAGAGAAGAUUUACCAAGUUCAUAACCCUUUUCCAUAGCUGAGUUUGGGAUAUUUAUUCUAUUGACUAACUAAUUCCAGCUGGCAUCCACUGACUCCGAAUCUAAUCAGGGCCAUUCAUCUCAUAUCUUGAAUCUUAAAUCAGAGCUGUCAAAGUGCUGAAAAUAAACUCAUGUGUAAAGCCACGUGCCCCCUUGACAAAUAUCCCUCAAUUCCCCUAAUUGCAAUCUCAC